CCCUGCAGCUCCAGUGAGUCUGUGUUUUAUUCUAUUCUGUUUUGUAGCUUGUGAAAAUUACAAGUCUACUGAACACUUAGCAAGGGCUGGACCCGGGCUGGAAGCCACAUGUGUGCGAAUUGACGUGACCUCCCCAGUCCUGUGAGGUCAUCUGGCUGGGUUCAUGCAGGUGGGAAGUCAGACCCCAAGGCUGGAGCUGGUGGAGCAGAAGUUGAUGUGGAGUUUGUGCAGGUUGGUAAGGGAAGGGAGGUCGAAUCUGUGUGGCAAUCUUCAGGAAUGUGUCUGCUUCUCCAUCCAGAACAGACCGAAGUGGUCUGAUAGAAGCCAAAGGAUUAUUUAUUUUUGUCAGGGACUGGAACAAAGAAUAGAAGUUUUCUUGCAAUUAAAUACAGGACCUUCUGCUUCUUUUUGAGAAGGUAGCCACGGAGCGAUAGGCACAUGUAGGAAUCCUGUGCAGGGAGAAGAUUCAAAGAAUAAUUUCAGUGAAAUCUUUCCUUCCCAAGGACUAUCCCUAGUGAAUGCUGACGGUCACACUGUCUCCUGCGUCAUUUUCCUGGACUUUGUCUGUUUCCGGUGAACUCUGGAUUCCCCUGAGGGUCCCGCCUCUCACCGGCAAUGCCUUGGUGACCAAGUUUCCCACGUGUGCAAUUUGGGGGACACGUGCAAACCCUAGCAGCUGCUCUUCAGUCUACCCUGAGAACAUCUUCAAACUCUCCCUUCCUGAGCAGCGUCUUCCGAAAUAUCUGGCCACUGUUCCGAAAGACUGUGAAGGCCAUCAGGAAAAAAAGGUAAGUCUGAGAAACUCUCCGACCAGAGAAGACCGGGGAAGGCACAGAGGCUGGAUACAGUGUUGUGGACAAGGUCAGGGGACAGAGAAAGGACAUCAGUGAAAAACUGCUGGGAUCGAAAUGAAGGUGGCGUUGCGUUCAGAGUAAUGUCCCACGGUUGUUUUCUCAGUGUGACGCGUGUCAUGCAAGAUGUGAGCUUGGGAAAGGGAGGUGCAGGACUUCUUGUAUUAUCUGUGCAACUUCUCUGCACACUCUGAAAUUUUCUAAAAUGAC
rnacentral:lncRNA from 1 species